UGAAUCUUGUAACACACAAGUCAAUAUCAGACCAUCUGAUACUAUCAACAUCUCCUUAUGACUUUAUCGUGCAAAGCUACUCAUGUAUGAUUCAGCAAGAAAGCAACAUGAGGAAAUUCUAAAUGUUUCUGAACAUUUCUGAUUCCUCCUUAUCAUGAUGCCUGUAAGUGUUACCUACUUGUUGCCUUAACUACAAAAAUUGCAUGCUCAAGUACAAACACACAAGUGUACCAAUUGAUCCU
rnacentral:sRNA from 1 species